AGAGAAACACCUGGUGUUUAUCGACUGUUUGGCUGAGAGAUUGUUGGCUGCGUUCUGUGCUGCUGUUGCGACCCAGAGAGAACGGGUUUCAGGAUUCCUGCGUGUCUGGU